rnacentral:rRNA from 1 species
CGUAGGAGGCAAGCGUUAUCCGGAUUCACUGGGCGUAAAGCGCGUGCAGGUGGCGCGGUAAGUUGGGUGUGAAAUCUCCCGGCUCAACUGGGAGAGGUCAUUCAAUACUACCGUGCUUGAGAGCAGAAGAGGAAGAUGGAAUUCCCGGUGUAGUGGUGAAAUGCGUAGAUAUCGGGAGGAACACCAGUGGCGAAGGCGAUCUUCUGGUCUGUUUCUGACACUCAUACGCGACAGCUAGGGUAGUAAACGGGAUUAGAGACCCCGGUAAUCCUAGCCGUAAACGAUGUGGACUUGGCGUUGGUGGGUUAAACUCCAUCAGUGCCGCAGCAAACGCGAUAAGUUCACCGCCUGGGGACUACGGCCGCAAGGUUG